AAAGUACUACCUCUGUUCCAUAAUUCUUGUCAGAAUCUUACAUGUAUUUAGACACUUUUUAGGAAUAGAUACAUCCAAUUUUAGGCAAAUUUGAGACAAGAAUUAUGGAACGGAGGGAGUAGUAG
rnacentral:pre_miRNA from 1 species